rnacentral:rRNA from 1 species
GAGGAGUGGCUUCCGAGCUAACGCGUUAAAUCGACGCCUGGGGAGUACGGCCGCAAGGUUAAACUCAAAUGAAUUGACGGGGGCCCGCACAAGCGGUGGAGCAUGUGGUUUAAUUCGAUGCAACGCGAAGAACCUUACCUACUCUUGACAUCCAGAGAAUUUAGCAGAGAUGCUUUAGUGCCUUCGGGAACUCUGAGACAGGUGCUGCAUGGCUGUCGUCAGCUCGUGUUGUGAAAUGUUGGGUUAAGUCCCGCAACGAGCGCAACCCUUAUCCUUUGUUGCCAGCACAUUAUGGUGGGAACUCAAAGGAGACUGCCGGUGAUAAACCGGAGGAAGGUGGGGAUGACGUCAAGUCAUCAUGGCCCUUACGAGUAGGGCUACACACGUGCUACAAUGGCGUAUACAAAGAGAAGCGACCUCGCGAGAGCAAGCGGAACUCAUAAAGUACGUCGUAGUCCGGAUUGGAGUCUGCAACUCGACUCCAUGAAGUCGGAAUCGCUAGUAAUCGUAGAUCAGAAUGCUACGGUGAAUACGUUCCCGGGCCUUGUACACACCGCCCGUCACACCAUGGGAGUGGGUUGCAAAAGAAGUAGGUAGCUUAACCUUCGGGAGGGCGCUUACCACUUUGUGAUUCAUGACUGGGGUGAAGUCGUAACAAGGUAACCA